GCCUUCGUAGUGUAGUGGUCAGCACGCUUCACGUAUAAGCGAGAGGGCCGUGGUUCGAAUCCCCGUGAAGGCG
rnacentral:tRNA from 1 species